rnacentral:misc_RNA from 1 species
AUGACGUUGUUUGAGCCAUGCUUCCUGAUGACACCGCAUCUCUUACUGUCAUCACCUCAUCCAUAUUGAUCUAUUUAAUUUGGAAAAAAAAAAAACGUAAGAUAUCUCUCUUUGCAGCAUGUCUGCCUUACGUUUUUCUCUCUUGUCAACUUCCUCUUUGCAAAAAAGAAGCAAAAGAGGAAAUGAAGAAGAAAGAAAGUUAUCAAUGUAAAAUUAGAAAAUAAAAUGUAUCUAUCAUGGCCAGUCCCUAUAGAUAAUGGCAACAAUGCCUCUCCAAAGGCAAUGGAAUAUGAGACCUCCCAUUAACAGGGAAACUUUCCCCGAUAGGAAAAAGCUUCAUCAAUACCAACAAGGAUUCCUUUCUGAAGUUUGCUUCUGAAUUUACAAACAUCAAACCAUCUGUUUGUCUGCCCCAAUAAAAGCAAUCGAUUUUGAUAUUAAAAUCACGCCAACUUUAAAACAAAACUGUAAAGCUUUUUUUUUCUUAAAAGAAAAAGAUAAAAGGAAUAAAUGAAAUGUACAAUGGCGAGUUCCGAAGAGUAAUGACAGUGAUGCUUCUACACAGGGUGAUGGAAUAUGAGACCUGCCCUUCCCGCAGAAGAGGUCCACCAGAAAAGGAGGACCUCAACUAUUAAGGGAAAUUUUACUUUUAGAUUAUGCAGAUUGAAGACACUGAUUCUCAUUUCCUCCAACUCAAGUAAGGGAUUUCUUGAAGGAAGUCCCCUGUCAAAUAUGUUGCAAAAUUAUAGGCAAGCAAAAAGAGCCAAAAAUAAAUUACAACAAUGGCAUCACUAGCUACUGAUUUAUUUGGGAAAAAACAAAUCCUCCAAACUGUGAGUCUACUUGAGAAUAGGGAAGGUGUAAGCAACCUACAACUUCCAUCCUAAAACCUAUUACCCAAAAGUUUUAGUUUGGCCACAAAAAAAUGUUAAUUUAAUUGAUGUAUAAAUUUAUUUUCCUUCCAGUAAAAAUUAAAUGCCAUAUUAUCAUUAUUUUUUUUUUGAAACAAAAUUCAUUUUUAUUUUAAAAUAGUUUAAAUAUCCCAUUUUAACUUAAGAACUUGUACACUGGUAUGGAUAUGCAUGCAUGAAUUACAAAGCUAUUGCUUUUGGGCUUAUAUAAAGGAGGAGGAGCACAUUUAUUUAUUAAGUCUAUGUCAAAUCUUUUAUUUUUAUUUGCUUAUCCAAAUGAUCUUAUGAAAUAUUACCAUGAUAAUUAAUACUCAUACCAGAAGAAAUGGAAACAUAGCAAAAUGACUUCUAUCAACAUGUGCUUUGAGUGCAGAAAUAAACAAAAAAAGACAUUCCAACCAAGUUUGCUACAAUUUGCACCAUUAUCUACAAUCAGGUAUAGAGAUCCAUUAAAAAACACUACAGUAUUGAAAUAAAAUUAAUUACAUCCCAAGCAUGCAUUAUAGCACUGAUUACCGUUUGAAGCUCACCCGCCCUUCCCAUCAUCAGAUGACAACAAGCUUUCUUUGGUUAAUUUCAAAUGCAAAACCAUAUCACUUUUAUCAAGUCAAGAAAGUAGGAGCAACAGUUCAUAGUUAAAAAUUACAAGAAUUUUCUAAAUCCACAAAUAUCCAAUUACAUCAAGCCCAAAUCAAAGUGCAAAAUCCAUCUCUUGAAAACAAUUCUAGGCUCUCAAGUCUACCAAAAGGUAUCAAAAUUAUCCAAGGAAUUUUCAAUGAUGUCUCAAAUCAAACACAAGAAAUCAUAACUCACAAUUGAUGCACGUAUCAGUAUCCAUCAACUCAACCAAGCAUCAAAAUAUCAAUAUCAAAACCCCUACAUACAACUGAAGCCAAUUUAUAUUCAUGACAUGUUAAGACAUGCACAGCGUUUUACAUUUUUUUUAGAAAAAGGGAAUCAAACUAUGGCUGAAUUACGUAACUGACAACACAAACAAUAGAAUUGCUUUGCCAGGACAAGCUAUCUGUUACCGAUCCAUGUAUCUCCAAACACUAAGGACAAUUGACAAAUUUCAAAUAACUCCCAAUUAAGAUAGAUCACAUAAUACCCACAUGUUCUAAGUACCAUUAAAAUUCAAACAUAAACAUCCAGUGAAGCAAUUAAGUUCAGAAAUGAUGCUACUCCAUAUUGAUCAGAUCAAAAACUUAACUAAAAUUAAGCUCAUAAAUUCAUUCUACAUAAAGUAUGGCGUAACAUAACCAAGCAUAAUAUUGAAAUCAAACUCAAGUAAUUAAAAGUUAAAACAACAAAACUACGAUCUGUCUUCCAGGCUACUCACUCAGCUUAAGCAUUUACUUUAAUCUAAUGAACAAUAUAAUUCUAAAGCAGCAGAAUAGCCAAUCGGCCAGUAGCCCAACAAAAUCAAAUGAAUUUCUAAAACAGAUUUUUCAUGGCACGUGUACGAAGUAGAAAUGAAAAUCGAAGGGAAACGUGAACAAAAAGUUUAAAACGAAAGAGACUCACCUACUGAGAAUGUACUUCUCAGAAAACUCACCGGAAGGGAUGAAAACCCGGGAGCAGGAUUCAAUGUAAUUAUCGGAAACGCACCGCGCGCUGGUAUUGCUGCCGAUGAGAACUGAGAAUUGCUGGAAAUUCUUGAGGCCGAGGGAGGUGCUCCGGUGCUGGUCAAGGCCCUUCGGUGCUGGUCAAGGCCCUUGAAGUCUCGUCGUUUGGCCGGAUCGAAUGCUCAAAAGAUCGGCAUCAAGCCUUCAACGCAUUCCGAUCUUCCCCGGAGCGAUGGUUUCCAGGGAAACUAGAUUAAGGGAAGGUGCUAUGGAGAUAAAGCUGCGUCAAACAAAAGACUUUGGGUUCUGUCUGCGCUGGGAGAUGUUGCUAUACG